rnacentral:snRNA from 1 species
AUACUUUGGUUUCUCUUCAGAUCGAAUAAAUCUUUAACUUUUCCUAACAGUUUCUGUGCAUAGGAACACGUCUAAGGUUUUCAGAAAAAUUUUCCCAGCUAUUCCUUGGACAGAGGA